rnacentral:rRNA from 1 species
GUCUACAGCCAUGCCACCCUGAGCACGCCUGAUCUUGUCUGAUCUCGGAAGCUAAGCAGGGUCGGGCCUGGUUAGUACUUGGAUGGGAGACCACCUAGCAAUACUAGGUGCUGGCUUUU